rnacentral:rRNA from 1 species
UACGAAGGGGGCUAGCGUUGCUCGGAAUCACUGGGCGUAAAGCGCACGUAGGCGGCUUUCUAAGUCAGGGGUGAAAUCCUGGAGCUCAACUCCAGAACUGCCUUUGAUACUGGAGAGCUUGAGUCCGGAAGAGGUGAGUGGAACUCCGAGUGUAGAGGUGAAAUUCGUAGAUAUUCGGAGGAACACCAGUGGCGAAGGCGGCUCACUGGCUCGAUACUGACGCUGAGGUGCGAAAGCGUGGGGAGCAAACAGG